CACGCCGUAAACGAUGAGCACUAAGUGUCGGAUGUAGAUUCGGCGCUGCAGUUAACACAGUAAGUGCUCCGCCUGGGGAGUACGGUCGCAAGACUGAAACUCAAAGGAAUUGACGGGGACUCGCACAAGCGGUGGAGCAUGCGGUUUAAUUCGAUGCAACGCGAAGAACCUUACCAGGUCUUGACAUCCCGCUGCCAGCCCUAGAGAUAGGGUUUUCCUUCGGGACAGCGGUGACAGGUGG
rnacentral:rRNA from 1 species